rnacentral:lncRNA from 1 species
GAAUUACCUUUUUAAAAAAAAAAUUAUUUAUUUGCGAGAGAGAGAGAGAACGAGCAGGGGAAGGGGCAGAGGGAGAGGGAGAAGCAAGCUCCCCCCGAGCAGGGAGCCCCAUUGAGGGGCUCAGUGCAGGACUCCAUCUGAGGCCCCNGUGCAGGACUCUAUCUGAGGCCCCUGGAAUCAUGACCUGAGUGGAAGGCAGAUGCUUAACCCGCUGAGCCACCCAGUGCCCCAACAGAAUUAUCCUUUACUCAAACCAAGUUCCCUCUUUUGUCUCCAGCUGAAAGUUCAGGCUUGUGUUGUGAAGCCUCCUCAAGCAUAAAAUGAAAAGGCCAACCCCGUUGGGACCAGUGUGGUCACCUGCCAGAGUGGCUUGAGGAGAGGGCACAUACGGUUGAGGGGAGCCCUGGUGAAGAAGGGACAUGAUGAGUGGAGGGAGCCAUGUUGGCGCUUUUCAAAGAAGCAGCAUGAUUGUGUGUGAAGGAUCCUGAGACCAUGACCUGAGCAGAAAUUGAGAGUCGGGCGCUCAACUGGUUGAGCCACCCAGGUGCCUCUAACCUAUGUUUUAAAACACAUGUAGUGAUUUCUGUCUCUGGGAGGAUCUGGCCGUGGAUAUUAUGAAAAACCUCUGGGCUACAGAAUAUUUCACAAUGCUGGAAUGUCCUGGACCACAGGAAGUGUGUGUCGCCAGGGGCCAACACACAAGCAAGAAACCACAAGAAGCCACCAUUGCCCUGGGAGCAUUUGCUGAGCUCGGUAAGUUAAAGUCUUUGUUUAACUGAUAUCAAGAGGAUGU